rnacentral:rRNA from 1 species
UGGGCGUAAGGGCUCGCAGGCGGUUUCUUAAGUCUGAUGUGAAAGCCCCCGGCUCAACCGGGGAGGGUCAUUGGAAACUGGGGAACUUGAGUGCAGAAGAGGAGAGUGGAAUUCCACGUGUAGCGGUGAAAUGCGUAGAGAUGUGGAGGAACACCAGUGGCGAAGGCGACUCUCUGGUCUGUAACUGACGCUGAGGAGCGAAAGCGUGGGGAGCGAACAGGAUUAGAUACCCUGGUAGUCCACGCCGUAAACGAUGAGUGCUAAGUGUUAGGGGGUUUCCGCCCCUCAGUGCUGCACCUAACGCAUU